UUUGUGCUGAACGCAAAGUUGGCUUUGUCGGGGAGCAUGAUGUGUUGAGUGAUCUAUUGGGCAUUAAGUUGGAGAUGACUCAUUUGGAUAAGCAUGAUUUACAAACAAAAGCAGAUACCAUUAAGCAUUUAGCUGAUCGUGGUUACCGGGUCAAGUGCAUGUCAGUGAUGGUAGUGGGUGUUAAAGUUGAAGAUCAGGACUUGGGAGAACUGCUAUCACGUCUCUUUGCACUGAUUGAAGAAUUUUCUAUUGUGUAAAGUGGGCCUAAAUUAGAGGCAAAACAAGCAUACAUUGUUGUCCGGCAUGUGAAAUUUUGGCCAUUGAAGAAGGGACCGGGCAAAAAGAUGCUUCUAGAACCGUCAAAUAGUAAUAUCUCAGCACAAAGCCCUGACCAGAUCAAAGCUUGGAUGAAUCUGAUUCUGCAACUUAGGAGAAUACUGGUCCUGUAGGUACAGUUGAAUCAGAUUUGGCUGAUGAUAUUGACCAUGAAGAAUGGUGAGGUUUGCACCAAAAACAACAAAUAGGUAUGCUGCUAAACAAUCAAAUGUUACGGUUCCUGGACCAGAAAACAGGCAUGCAGCCAUGGGGCCAACUUUUGCUCAUCUUGUGAGAAGAUCUGAACCUGAAAGUCAAAGUCAAACCUGUGGUAAGUUACGGGAUGUUUGGUGCACCAAAACUGAAUAAUGAUUCUCAAAGAGGUGGCCCCCAGCAAGUAAAUAGGUACAAGAAAGGACCGAGCCCUCAUUUACCACCUAUGGAUUCUUUAGUAGAGAAAAUUCGAAUAUUGACCCUAAUGGGAUCAGGGACAGAAAAGCUGGUGUUGGUUUCCGACGAUAAGGACACAAAUUUGUACAAUGAAGUUUGCAGUUUGAAGUUCUAUGAAAUGUAGCACUUGUAGAGUGCUACUUAACUUAUUGUUGUAGUAUCCAUGGCUAUACACUAUGCAGUGCUUUGGUAGUCCAUUAAACUAUUAGAGCAGCAAUUAAAUGAUUUUUGGUUCUGACUUUUAGUUUUA